UUGAACGCCACUUGGUGUGAUUCUCUCUGACAGGAUGUAGGGCCGUGUUACAGGAAGUGUGUAACACACACACACACACACAGUAAUGUGGUGUGUACAUUUCUCUUCUGUUCAUUAAAAUGCAUGCACCUCUUCAAAGAGCUGACGACAAUGAUGCCAUCUGCUGUUGUGUGUCGACGUUAUCAGGGAGAACAAACAGCAAGUGGAGGAGAGGAAGAGAGGAGAGGAGAUGAUGGGAGAAGAAAGGAAGAGAGGAGAGAGAGAUGAGGACAGACUAGACAAGAGGAGAUGAGAGGAAUAAUUUCUUUAAUCUGAAUAUUUUCUUCACGUUCUUAUUAAAUGAUUUGAAAGUUAAACUCCCGUCAUGUUUCCCGUGUUUCCUCCGACUGCAGCUACAAACCAUCAGAUGUCAUGUUCAGUUUUUUCCCAUCUCAGAUUGUAAUUGUUCAUAAUCUUUUCUAUUUUCAUCAUCAAGAUGUCAUCUGUUACAACUCUGCACUUCAGGCACGAUAUGAAUAAAGUUUCAUUUGAAUCAGAGACGCUUGGUGACUUGAUGGUGUUUUAAACAGCAUCUAGUGGCAGGCAAGGUGUGUGUGUGUGUGUGUGUGUGUGUGUGUGUG